rnacentral:tRNA from 1 species
CGGGGUGUAGCGCAGUUGGUAGCGCGCCUGCUUUGGGAGCAGGAGGCCCGGGGUUCGAGUCCCCGCACUCCGACCA